AGUCUUGCCACACUGUCCAUCUCAGCUGGGAUUGGGAUUGGGGGCUAUUGAUCUCUGAGUCCUCAAUGAAGGAGUGGAAUUUGAUUUCCUAAGAAAAGACAAAAAAUAGCUGGUUCAUCACUGCAACAAGCUGAUCACCAUCGGGACCCCUGGUCUUUUCUACUUUUUCUAACUGCCCUCUCCCUGCAGGAAAAAAAGCCAAUCUUCUCAAGAAUCUUACUUCUCCGCAGAGGCUCUGGCCACAUUCAGACACCAGUUCCUGAGAGAUCUGUGCAGGAGAGCCCAGCUUCUCAGCACUGUCUGUAGAUCCUCAGCUCUGAGAGCUCGGCUGCCUUCCAUUGGACAACAUCUGGUAGCAGGAAGAGCUGAAGCAGCACUUGGUAUCCAGGCAGUGUGGGACAGGGUUCAGAGACAGCGAAAGGUGGUCUGCUACCAUCAGGUCACCCUCCUCCCUCUCCUAGGUCUACUCCUCCUCUGUAUUGGCUGAGAAUAUAGCAAGUCUCCCAGGGAUAUCAACUGAACAUGGCACAACAAGAUUCAGAAGAACAGGAACAAACCUUCUUCUCACAGCUGGAAGAGACAACACAGUAGGAGAGAAGGGGUCCCAAGCUCUAGGGAAAGAGUCUGAGACAACUUCACUCCCAGUUUGAGGGCUCUCACAAGAUCACCAAGUUGACAUCUACAUUUUCAGAGGGCCAAGCACUGACCCAUACAGACUCCCUGAUUGUCAGUUUGAUCUGUCUUGGCAUCUCUGAGCUCCAAAGGGAGGAAUCCGAUUGAGAUCUUCAAGUGCAGUUCUCUCUCUGUGCCCAGUGUUUGUCUGUGGGAGUCUGCAUCUAGAGCCCUCUGAAAGGUAUCAAUCGGCCACUCCAAACACCAUCCAAUAAGAAAUACAAGAAGCACUCUGAAGAAGUCGUUGCUCCUAGACAUACCCAGACAUCCAUUUCAGCCAAAAUAAUUGAAAAAGACCCAUGAAGAGAGAAGAUGGAUGAAGAGCAAUACCAAAAGAGUUCAAAAUCACCUCAAAAGAUGCUAAAGACAGUUGAAUUCAAGAAAAAGAAACACGUUAGGUUUCUGUUACCCCACAAAGCUGACAAGGAAAAGAAACCCUCUUCCCCAGGAGAUACAGAUGAGUCAAAGUUCAGAUGUGAAUGCCACCACUGCCAGAUGUGUGGGGGGAACACAUCUGGGAUCUCUGAGGGAACUGGGACAGAAGCAGUCUCUCCAUCAUCCUCCUGGUAAAAGCUAACACUAGACCUCAGUAACUUGACACUCAACCUUCAUACCACCCAACCCCAUCUUGUACAAGACACCAUAUCAAAAGGAGAGAACAAAAUUCAGUGGUCAAGGAAAAACAAAAGGAUGUUUCAAAAGGUUCUAUACAAAUGGACAGAAUGACUGUGACACUGUCAUCCUCAUGAGAAGGAAGAUCCAAACCUACAGGAUCAUGAGUGUCAACAUCUUUUGGGGAGCAUGGUCAGGAGGAGUAAUGUCCAACCGAGUGAUAAUAAUACAGCCAGAUCGUGAUUCUAAUCUAUUCCACAAAUAUAGCCAUCUUUUCCUUGGUAGUUUAGGCAUCUUCCCUGAGGCAUUCUGAGAAGAGAUGCUCCUCAGCAAGGAUGACCAGAUUGUGAUUUUUCUAUACUCCCCAUGUCAGUGUUCCCAUAGGGCUUGCUACCAUUUUUCCCCUCCUUGUUGCCAAUAAAGUUAGAACAUCUA
ensembl:lincRNA 4930453H23Rik RIKEN cDNA 4930453H23 gene